rfam:Schistosoma haematobium scaffold824_26, whole genome shotgun sequence.
GGUUUCCUGAAUUCGUGCCAUGAUCUCGCCAAACUCCAACCCACUAGAGCUGGUGAGACCUUCAAAAUAGGUGAAAUG